rnacentral:rRNA from 1 species
UACGUAGGUGACAAGCGUUGUCCGGAAUUACUGGGCGUAAAGCGCGCGUAGGCGGUUUUGUAAGUCGGGUGUGAAGUCCCCAAGCUUAACUUGGGAACUGCAUUCGAGACUGCAUAGCUAGAGUAUGGGAGAGGGAAGUGGAAUUUCAGGUGUAGCGGUGAAAUGCGUAGAUAUCUGAAGGAACAUCAGUGGCGAAAGCGACUUCCUGGACCAAUACUGACGCUCAUGUGCGAAAGCGUGGGGAGCAAACAGG